UACGUAGGGAGCGAGCGUUGUCCGGAUUCAUUGGGCGUAAAGAGCUCGUAGGCGGCUUGGUAAGUCGGAUGUGAAACCUCCAGGCUCAACCUGGAGUCGCCAUCCGAUACUGCUAUGGCUAGAGUCCGGUAGGGGCCCACGGAAUUCCUGGUGUAGCGGUGGAAAUGCGUAGAGAUCCGGAAGAACACCGGUGGCGAAGGCGGUCUGCUGGGCCAAGACUGACGCUGAGGCGCGACAGCGUGGGGAGCAAACAGG
rnacentral:rRNA from 1 species